rfam:Sporolactobacillus laevolacticus DSM 442 Contig004, whole genome shotgun sequence.
UAAAAAGGAUCUUCAACUAAAUACGCUCACGUCCUGUGAGCAACGUUGAAGCCACCACAUCCUGCGGA